CCAGCAGCCGCGGUAAUUCCAGCUCCAAUAGCGUAUAUUAAAGUCGUUGCAGUUAAAAAGCUCGUAGUUGAAAUUGAGGUCGGAGUUUGAUUUAUUAGUCCUAUGGAUUAGUAUAUUCGAAUUCUCCUUUUUCGUCGUGAAUACGCUUGAGGUGCUUAAUUGCAUUUCUUGUGUAACCGACAAGUUUACUUUGAAAAAAUUAGAGUGCUUAAAGCAGGCUUUUGCUUGUAUAUUGUUGCAUGGAAUAAUGAAAUAGGACUUCGGUUUUAUUUUGUUGGUUUUC
rnacentral:rRNA from 1 species